AUUGGGGAAUUCUCCCGUCGCAUGUCGGACGCGCACCGGCCCCGGGGCCCUGGGCCGGGCCAGGCGGCGUGUGCCGGCGCGCCCCGGAGCUCUCCGCCCGCCUCUCGCUCCGCGGUGGCGGUUUAAGCACCUGGCGGAAGUCUUUCGUUAGGCGGCAGGUACAGCUUUCUCGGGCGAGGAGUGCGCUCUUCUGUGAAACGUGUGUACAAUAAAGUAACACUUCCCUCACUCCUUUCCCGGGCUGUCGGCGACUUCGUGCCACGCCGCGACAGCGCGGGUCGAACCGCGACAAACUUCGUUCCGCGCUUCCAGGCGACAACGUGUCUUUCCCCGGCGUAACCGGCUUUCGGUAGCACCAUACCGGCACCGGCUGACCACGGAAUACCAUCCCGCUGCCGCUGUUAAGUCCGUCCCGGACCGAAGGGCGUGCGCUCGGCCCAAAAUGCCUCACGAAAAGUGAAAAUCAAGAACUGCCCAGCUCCGCUCACAACAGCCGACACGCCCGGGAUUUGCUAAACAAACAGACCAACCAACCAAUAAAGUCUCCACAGAGACCAAAACUACAGCAAAGACACGUUGCGGAGAGACGGUGUGUGCGGGCGAGCCGGGCUGGAAACGCGGCGGGCCAGGGCACGCGUGGAGGAGCGGGGGACGUGCCCGGAGGAGCCGCGUUGCUGGCGGGGGGCAGCGCCCGUCCCGUCCCGGCACAGCGGCCGGUCACGGCGCGGGAGUUACACGCGUGUCAGUUGGAACCCGGCACACUUCACCCCCCAAAAAAGGCAAAAUCCAUGCUGAGUGUUCUCCCCCCCGUCCCGUCACGAAUCCUGCCGGGGUUGCACGCAGCCCGUGUUGCUGAUGCUGCUUGAGCUGCAAACUGCGAACCCGGACGCACGCAGGAGUGGGUCACGUAUCCCACGUCUGUUCUCCUCGGGCUCAGCAGCUUGUACCCCGCAGCACACAACACCAAGCACAGGUCGGGUCCUCCAAAGUUACGCCCUGAGAACUCUGUCGAGAGCCAAGCGAUUAGAUAAAUUCUUACGUGGUGAGAUACAGAUUGUCAAAGGACUUUAUUCGAUUUAGAUACACACUUCACAUUAAAGUGUGGUUAUAAU
rnacentral:lncRNA from 1 species